AUGAACGCUGGCGGCGUGCCUCAUCCAUGCCAGUCGCGCGAACAGACGAGGAGCUUGCUCCUCUGACGUUAGCGGCGGACGGGUGAGUAACACGUGGAUAACCUACCUAUAAGACUGGGAUAACUUCGGGAAACCGGAGCUAAUACCGGAUAAUAUAUUGAACCGCAUGGUUCAAUAGUGAAAGACGGUUUUGCUGUCACUUAUAGAUGGAUCCGCGCCGCAUUAGCUAGUUGGUAAGGUAACGGCUUACCAAGGCAACGAUGCGUAGCCGACCUGAGAGGGUGAUCGGCCACACUGGAACUGAGACACGGUCCAGACUCCUACGGGAGGCACCAGUAGGGAAUCUUCCGCAAUGGGCGAAAGCCUGACGGAGCAACGCCGCGUGAGUGAUGAAGGUCUUCGGAUCGUAAAACUCUGUUAUUAGGGAAGAACAAAUGUGUAAGUAACUAUGCACGUCUUGACGGUACCUAAUCAGAAAGCCACGGCUAACUACGUG
rnacentral:rRNA from 1 species